AUUGAACGCUGGCGGAAUGCUUUACACAUGCAAGUCGAACGGUAGAGGGGGCGACCCCUUGAGAGUGGCGAACGGGUGAGUAAUAUAUCGGAACGUGCCCAGUCGUGGGGAUAACGUAGCGAAAGUUACGCUAAUACCGCAUACGAUCUACGGAUGAAAGCGGGGGACUCGCAAGAGCCUCGCGCGAUUGGAGCGGCCGAUAUCAGAUUAGGUAGUUGGUGGGGUAAAGGCUCACCAAGCCAACGAUCUGUAGCUGGUCUGAGAGGACGACCAGCCACACUGGAACUGAGACACGGUCCAGACUCCUACGGGAGGCAGCAGUGGGGAAUUUUGGGACAAUGGACGCAAGUCUGAUCCAGCCAUUCCGCGUGCAGGAUGAAGGCCCUCGGGUUGUAAACCUGCUUUUGUACGGAACGAAAGGUUUCUAUUAAUACUAGGAGCUCAUGACGGUACCGUAAGAAUAAGCACCGGCUAAC
rnacentral:rRNA from 1 species